rnacentral:lncRNA from 1 species
AUGUGUUAUAAACACCUUGAGUUUAAAUAAUUUGAGAUGAUAAAGAAGCUUUGACCUUUUGAUCGUAAAAGGGGUUGUUUUUGAAACCGAGAUAAGAAAAGAAAUCCACUUUUAUUGAUUUAUUAUGAAAGGGGUAGCAUGAUGGCUCCCGUUGUGAAUUAUUGAAAUAUUUAUUAGUGGAUUUUCUUUUGAAAAGAUCUGAGCUAAGUCCGGGAGUAGUCUUUAGCACCGAGCGGGAGGUAUAGCAGGAUUGGUACUUUCCUAGAACUACGUGCCCCCUAAGUUGUGAGCCUGAGGCUGAUUUAUAUAUAGUGAUCACUAGUGAAUAAAAGAUUAAGGUCCUACUUCGAUGGCAAGGAUAGGAUAACUCUCCCCAACGUGGCUUGGACGUUGGACUCCAUGUAGCUCACAUGGUUUUUGUCGAUUAUGAGAGACUCCCAAACAAAAGGACUACCUCAAACAAAAGGUCCUUCAAAAGAGACUCUUAUAAACCAAGUAGAAAAUCUACCAAGCGAAAAACCUUUAGGGCCAAAGAUACUUGUUGGACUUGUGGCAAGACAGGCCACAGGGCGAAGGAUUGCAAGUCCAAUAAGAAAAAGAAAAUAAAUCAGUUGGAUCUCUCUGAAGAGACCAAAGCUAGUUUAUUCUCUAUAAUGGAAGAUUCGCCUGAGUCUUCUGAGUCUUCUGACUCUUAUAACUCGUCCAGUGAUGAAUACAACGAUGAGGAAUUCAUCAACUCUAAC